GCUUUCGUGGCGCAAUGGUUAGCGCGUCGCAUUUACGUUGCGAAGGCUGUGGGUUCGAUCCCCACCGGAAGCA
rfam:Giardia intestinalis strain GS GS_B_0258, whole genome shotgun sequence.